rnacentral:misc_RNA from 1 species
GAUGAAUAACGUAGCGAAAUGCGAUAAGUAAUGUGAAUUGCAGAAUUCAGUGAAUCAUCGAAUCUUUGAACGCACAUUGCGCCCCCUGGUAUUCCGGGGGGCAUGCCUGUUCGAGCGUCAUUUCACCACUCAAGCCUCGCUUGGUAUUGGGCAACGCGGUCCGCCGCGUGCCUCAAAUCGACCGGCUGGGUCUUCUGUCCCCUAAGCGUUGUGGAAACUAUUCGCUAAAGGGUGUUCGGGAGGCUACGCCGUAAAACAACCCCAUUUCUAAAGUUGACCUCGGAUCAGGUAGGGAUACCCGCUGAACUUAAGCAUAUCAAUAAGCGGAGGA